rnacentral:misc_RNA from 1 species
UACGGAGGGGGUUAGCGUUGUUCGGAAUUACUGGGCGUAACGCGCACGUAGGCGGCCUAUUAAGUAAGGGGUGUCAUCCCGGGGCUCAACCCCGGAACUGCCCUUGAUACUGGUAGUCUUGAGUUCGAGGGAGGUGAGUGGAAUUCCGAGUGUAGAGGUGAAAUUCGUAGAUAUUCGGAGGAACACCAGUGGCGAAGGCGGCUCACUGGCUCGAUACUGACGCUGAGGUGCGAAAGCGUGGGGAGCAAACAGG